GGGGUGAUAGCUCAGUUGGGAGAGCGUACGACUGAAGCUCAACUUUUGUUUUCUAUAAUCGUAAGGCCGCCGGUUCAAUCCCGGCUCGCCCCA
rnacentral:tRNA from 1 species